AGAACCUGCCCUUGGGAGGGGAACAACAACUGGAAACGGUUGCUAAUACCCCCUAGGCUGAGGAGCAAAAGGAGAAAUCCGCCCAAGGAGGGGCUCGCGUCUGAUUAGCUAGUUGGUGAGGCAAUAGCUUACCAAGGCGAUGAUCAGUAGCUGGUCCGAGAGGAUGAUCAGCCACACUGGGACUGAGACACGGCCCAGACUCCUAC
rnacentral:ncRNA from 1 species